AGUGAACGCUGGCGGUAGGCCUAACACAUGCAAGUCGAACGGCAGCACAGUAAUAGCUCGUUCUUACGGGGGGCGAGUGGCGGGCGAGGGCUAAGAACAUCGGUAUCUGCGUUUGCUAACGUGCGAACGUGGGCGCUAAUACCGUAUACCUCCUUAGGGCGUACGGGGGAAAUCUUGGGACCUCACGCUCUUACAUGAUCCGAGGUCGGAUUAGCUAGUUGGUGGGGUAAAGGCCUACCAAGGCGACGAUCCGUAGCUGGUCUGAGAGGAUGAUCAGUCACACUGGAACUGAGACACGGUCCAGACUCCUACGGGAGGCAGCAGUGGGGAAUAUUGGACAAUGGGCGAAAGCCUGAUCCAGCCAUGCCGCGUGUGUGAAGAAGGUCUUCGGAUUGUAAAGCCCUUUUGUUGGGGAAGAAAAGCAGUAGGUUAAUACCUCGCUGUUCUGACGGUACCAAAAGAAUAAGCACCGGCUAACUUCGUG
rnacentral:rRNA from 1 species